UAAAAUACACAAUAGAAUAUGACUUAGAUUGUAUACGAUAUUU
rnacentral:guide_RNA from 1 species